AUUGAAUGCUGGCGGCAGGCCUAACACAUGCAAGUCGAGCGGCUGAACAGAGAUUGCUCCUGGUUACAGCGGCGGAGGGGUGAGUGAUGGCGGGGUAUAUGCGAGGUAGCGGGGGAGAGCGUGAGAAAGCGGGCGAACUUACGGCAAUACUGCAGACGGCCAACGGGGGAGAGCUUGGGAUCUUCGGAUCUUGCGUGAUCCUAUGAGGCGAUGUCGGAUUAGCUAGUUGGCGGGGUAAAGGCCCACCAAGGCGACGAUCCGUAGCUGGUCUGAGAGGAUGAUCAGCCACACUGGAACUGAGACACGGUCCAGACUCCUACGGGAGGCAGCAGUGGGGAAUAUUGGACAAUGGGCGAAAGCCUGAUCCAGCCAUGCCGCGUGUGUGAAGAAGGUCUUCGGAUUGUAAAGCCCUUUUAUUUGGGAGGAAGAGCAGUAAGUUAAUACCUCGCUGUUUUGACGGUACCCACAGAAUAAGCACCGGCUAACUUCGUG
rnacentral:rRNA from 1 species